GAUGAAGAACGUAGCGAAAUGCGAUAAGUAAUGUGAAUUGCAGAAUUCAGUGAAUCAUCGAAUCUUUGAACGCACCUUGCACCCUUUGGCAUUCCGAAGGGUAUGCUCGUUUGAGUGUCAUUGUACUCUCACACUCUCCGAUCCUAUGGAUUCGGGGAGCGGUGGACUUGGGUGUUGCUGCCUUUCCUUGUGGCUCACCUCAAAUGUGUCAGUGCACCUCUUGGUUGGACAUAGUACGGCGUGAUAAGUGUCUUCGCCGGCACCUCGCAAGAGGGUGGCCGAUCGGGAGCUCUGUGCUUUCAAACCGUCUUCGGACAAUUUCUGACAACUUGACCUCAAAUCGAGUAGGACUACCCGAUGAACUUAAGCAUAUCAAUAAGCGGAGGA
rnacentral:misc_RNA from 1 species